rnacentral:lncRNA from 1 species
CACACACGUGUUGACAAUUGCAACACAAGCUCUCUCUCUCUCUCUUGCUCGCUCGCCACUAAUCUCAUUGUCGGCUCUCUCUCUCCUCUUCAUCCCAAAUCCAACAGCCAUGGGUCACUCUCUCUUCCCCCAAGUGGGUCUCUCCUUCUCCAAAUCCAGCAGCUGCCGCUCACUCUCUCUCCCUCCUAAAUUCCAUAGCAGUUGUGGGUCACAGCUGCUGUUAUCUCUUCGCCGACUGUUGGAAAUUUCUUAUUAGAAUGUCUGAUCAUGCAGUGAUUAUGUGUCUAACCCAUGAAUGAUUGUAUACCAUGCCUUUUCCUUGUUUUGGUUUUUGUUUUAUUCGAAUGAUAAUUGAUAUAUAGCUGCAUCGUUGUAUAAUAAUUCAGAUGGAAUCUAUAAUUUGGAGCUCAAUUUUAACCGAGUUUAUGCUUAAUGUUAUAUUUGAGUUUUAUGUUUUGUGUUUUCUUAAGCUGAGUGUUUCUUAUUCUAAAGUGAAGAAGAUGUGGCG